UGAGGAAUAUUGGACAAUGGAGGCAACUCUGAACCAGCCAAGUCGCGUGAAGGAUGAAGGUCUUAUGGAUUGUAAACUUCUUUUGCAAGGGAAUAAAGUGGGGGACGUGUCCUCCUUUGCAUGUACCUUGCGAAUAAGGAUCGGCUAACUCCGUGCCAGCAGCCGCGGUAAUACGGAGGAUCCGAGCGUUAUCCGGAUUUAUUGGGUUUAAAGGGUGCGCAGGCGGGAUGUUAAGUCGGCGGUGAAGUUUUGCAGCUCAACUGUAAAAGUGCCUUCGAUACUGGCUUUCUCGAGUGUGGAUGAAGUAGGCGGAAUUUGUGGUGUAGCGGUGAAAUGCUUAGAUAUCACGAGGAACUCCGAUUGCGCAGGCAGCUUACUAAACCACUACUGACGCUCAUGCACGAAGGCGUGGGGAUCAAACAG
rnacentral:rRNA from 1 species